GAUGAACGCUGGCGGCGUGCCUAAUACAUGCAAGUCGAGCGAACAGAUGAGGAGCUUUCUCCUCUGACGUUAUCGGCGGACGGAUGAUUAACACGUGUAUAACCUACCUAUAAGACUGGGAUAACAUCGCGAAACCGUAUCUAAUACCCGAUAAUAUAUUGAACCGCAUUGUUCAAUAGUUAAAUUAGGUUUUUCUUUCGCUUAAAGCUUGAUACGCCCCGCAUUAGCUAGUUGUUAAGGUAACGGCUUACCAAGGCAACGAUGGAGACACGGCCUGAGAGGGUGAUCGGCCACAUGGGCACUGAGACUCGGCACAGACUCCUACGGGAGGACGCAGUAGGGACUCUUACGCGAUGGGGGAAAGGGUGACGGAGCAAAGUCGCGUGAGUGAUGAAGGUCUUAGGACCGUAAAACUAUGUUAGUAGGGAAGAAGAAAUGUGUAAGUAACUAUGAAGGUAUUGACGGUACCUAAACAGAAAGCCCCGGCUAACUACGUG
rnacentral:rRNA from 1 species